rnacentral:rRNA from 1 species
AUUGAACGCUGGCGGCAGGCCUAACACAUGCAAGUCGAGCGGAUGAAGAGAGCUUGCUUUCUGAUUCAGCGGCGGACGGGUGAGUAAUGCCUAGGAAUCUGCCUGGUAGUGGGGGACAACGUUUCGAAAGGAACGCUAAUACCACAUACGUCCUACGGGAGAAAGUGGGGGAUCUUCGGACCUCACGCUAUCAGAUGAGCCUAGGUACGAUUAGCUAGUUGGUGAGGUAAAGGCUCACCAAGGCGACGAUCGUUAACUGGUCUGAGAGGAUGAUCAGUCACACUGGAACUGAGACACGGUCCAGACUCCUACGGGAGGCAGCAGUGGGGAAUAUUGGACAAUGGGCGAAAGCCUGAUCCAGCCAUGCCGCGUGUGUGAAGAAGGUCUUCGGAUUGUAAAGCACUUUAAGUUGGGAGGAAGGGCAGUAAGUUAACACCUUGCUGUUUUGACGUUACCGACAGAAUAAGCACCGGCUAACUUCGUGCCAGCAGCCGCGGUAACAC